rnacentral:lncRNA from 1 species
GCUAAUUUACAAUUUGACACUGUACAAAUCUUUUUUCUUUACAAGCCUGUAUCCAACCGAAGCAACUAAUUAACAGGGAACAAAUCACAUUACUUUCUUUACAUGGCUUUACCCAACGGAACCAACUACUAACAAAUCAUAGAUUGAUUUUUUGUGUCGUGGUGUUCAUGGCUAGUGGAGAGGCGGAUCCACCGCCGGCCCCCAAGCCAUCAACUCCGACGACCCCUGCACACCGAGGCUUCACACAGAUGACAACUGAGACGAUCCCACAGACUGCCGGACAGGGAGGCGACUGUUGCGUCCAUGGAUCACCACGAUCUGCUCCAGAUUGGUCAGUAUAUUAUCUCCCCUUCCUCCCACCCCACGCCAAACACACACAGUGCCACACGGAUCCAGGGUUUGAACCUCUUGGCAUCUCCUCGCUAGGCAGCCCCUAACGCUGCUACACUUGUAGUAACCCUGCAACUGCAACAAUAUGAUGGAGACAUAAUUAUCAGGAUUCAGGAGUAUAAAGUUCUGAAAUUAUCCAAAUCUUUAAACCAUGUGGAUGAAUACUUCUACGAGGAUCAUGAAUCCAAUGACAUGGGCAUACACUUAGUUUUACUGGAAAAUGAAUAUUAAACAAUUUGUUACUUGUUUCCUAACAUACCAAAAUGACAGUUAGAUGAUGCCCUUAUGUCCCCUCCAUAACUGAAAAUCUUUUGUUCUCCAUGUAGGUCUCGGCCGGUGGCUAGCAAUGAUACAUAUGUAUCAACUAUGGAAGGAAGUGUUGAUUGGUCCAAGAUUGAGAUAGCACCAAUGAAUGAUGAAGAAAUUGAUGUUCCUAUAACAGAAGAGAACAUGUGCUCGGUGCUUGGCAUCAAUGAUGAACCUGAGCAUCGGAAAAUUGUAUCUGAAGCAGCUAUGAAAACCUGCAUUGCAGAUGUUGAUGCAUGUGUGGCUGAUAUUGAUGAGGAUUUACUUGCUGAUGCGGCUCUUCCUGUGCCUGACCAUAUGCCUGAAGAGGAUCACUUUUGGUAUGAUAAGGAACAUCCUGUGAUAGAGGAAGGAUCUUUGUUUCGUUCAAUGAACGAGUUUAGGAUGCUCAUGAGAACAUUUGCUAUUAGAGGCAAGUUUGACAUCAAGACCAAGGAUAGUGACACUACUAGAUUUGUGGGUCACUGUAAAGGAAAUGCAUGUCCUUGGAGAAUAACUGCUAGGACAAUAGAAGAUGGAAAAACAGUCAGGGUACAAACUUAUCUAACAUGAAUCAUCUUUUAUGUUAAAACUAUCUUUUAUAAAUUACUUGCAACAAAUGGUUGGUAUUGUGUUUUCUGCAGGUAAACAAGAUAGUAAAGCCUCAUAAGUGUUCAUCAACCACUGCAGUGAUUACAAGCAUGGCAGACCAAGCAUGGGUGGCAGAAAAGGCAAUGGGGUAUCUUCAAACUGAACCAAACAUUGGUGCCAGCGAGCUCCGAAAAAAGCUAUAGGCCGAAUACAAAUGUACUAUUAGGUAUCAUACUGUUGACAAGGGAAAAGAAAGGUCCAAGAAUAGUUUAUAUGGGACCUGGGGAAAAAGCUUUCAGUCAUUAUUGAAUUUCAAAGCUGAGAUUGAUAAAAGAUCUCCUGGUAGCAUUGUCGAGGUUGAUGUCAAGAGGGAAGGAGGUGAAGUGCAUUUCCGCAGAUUUUUUAUGGCACUUAAGCCGUGCAUUGAUGGCUUCUUGGCUGGUUGUAGACCAUAUGUCAGUAUAGACUCCACAUUUUUGACUGGAAAGUGGAAUGGUCAAUUAGCAGCAUGUACAGCACUAGAUGGACAAAAUUGGAUGUUUCCUUUAGCAUUUGGUUUCUUUGGUACGGAGACCGAGGGUAACUGGAUUUGGUUUAUGCAACAACUGUAUAGGGCAAUAGGACAUCUUCAAACUCUAGCUAUUUGUACUGAUGCAUGCAAAGGGUUGGAGAAUGCAGUUAAAAUUGUGUUUCCUCGAGCUGAGCAAAGGGAAUGCUUUAGGCAUCUAAUGGCAAACUUCAAAAAGAAAUUUCACGGAGAUGUUUUUGGUCGCAUGUGGCCAGCAGCCAAGGCUUAUCGUCUGGAAACAUUUAAUUAUCAUAUGGGCAAGAUAUUUGAAGCUGAACCUGCAGUGAGUACCUACUUAUGUACCUAUCAUAACUUAAAGUGGAUGAGAUGUGACUUCAACACAGAAAUAAAAUGUGAUUACAUUCACAACAAUCUAGCUGAGUGCUUCAAUAGCUGGAUCAAAGGAACAAAGGAGCUGCCCAUGGAUGAGCUAGCCGAUGCAAUAAGAGAGAAAAUUAUGAUACUUGUUUAUAGAAGGAGAAGGAUUGGGAAAAUGCUCCAGGGAGAGAUAUUGCCUGCUAUCAUUCAACAAAUAAAUAAUAGAACUAGGCAACUUGACCAUUUGGUUGUUGGAAGAUCAACCGGAGAAAGUUGUGAGGUCAAGGACACUAGCAAGAAUAAUCUUAGGCAUGUUAUGAAGAUAGGCAGCCGUGAGUGCACCUGCCUAGAAUGGCAACACACUGGAAAGCCAUGUGAGCAUGCACUUGCAUUCCUUAUAGAGACGGCAGAUGUGAACUUUCAACCAUAUGUACAUGAGUACUACUCCGUGAGUAGGUUUCGGGCUGCCUAUGCUGGAGAGAUUGAACCAAUCACGGACAAGUCUCAAUGGCCUCAUGUUAAUCUAGAUUUUGAGAUGGUGCCACCGGAUUUAAAGAGCUCCGUUGGGAGACGGAGGAAGCAGAGAAUCAAAAGUUGCCUUGAAGACGGUGGUGGCAGCAAACGGAAGAAAAAAGAUGAUAAUGGCAAAACAAAUGACCAAGAAGGAGGUGACAAAGAGAAGGAAAAGGAAAAGAAGAGAUUUGGCAGCAGAAAUAGGUGCAAAGAAUGUGGGAUAUUGGGGCACAGGAAAGCAACUUGCAAAAAAAAUGAAGCUAAAGAGAGGUAACCCAUGCACUAGUAUCUCCUUUAUAUUAGUAUCAAAUUAGUACUAUUAUACCAUUUCUAACAUCCGGUGUGACUGAACUUUCUAGUGAUGUGUCUGCUCGCGAGCUCGCUCCAGUUGUUGUUGCGACACCUACACACACAACAACAAUCACACUGCCUCCCAGCCUUCAUAACAGCCCUGGGCCUAUCACAAGAAGGUACCUACUAUAUUUGUCAUAAGCACAUUUGAUUCAUGCAAAAGAAAAAUCCUACUUUUAUAACAUUGGUGUGUAAACUGUAAACAUGCAGGAGGCUUGCUAUGGCCAUAGCUGGAGACGAUGCAUCACAGCCAUGUGGGACAAGUACUGUUAAUUCUACAGCAUCACCUACUUCUCACUUCCCUUCACGCUCUAUGGCAUGCAAGAAAAAAUUGUCCCCGAAGAGGAAGAAGCUCUCAUUUUAGUGCAUUCAAUUCUAUUUUAAAUUCGUAGAGGUGUUGAAAUUUGUCAAUUUCAAAGAUAUUGGCUCGAAAAAAAAAUACUUUUUUGCUUGAUGUAAACUCGGAUUAAUUUAUCAUGUCGCUUGAACCAAGCAAACCUUUUUGUGGCAUCAGUUCGUAAUUUCGGUGUGAUAUAUUCUCUCAAUUCCAUGUGCUAAGUGAACAUAUGUUGUCAGUCUAUUUUUUUUCCUAUGAAGAUGUUAUAUGCUGUCAAUUUCCAACGAAAUGCAUAUGCCAGGAUGCACAUCAUAUAUAUAGAUCUCUGACCAGUGACUAAAGUAGAUCUAGCAAAAGAUUAAGCAUAUAUAUUUUGAGUGUGAUACAAUUAAAGUAUGAAGCAUCUGGAGGAGAUAACUAAACAAAGCAUUUUAUAUAAUGUACCCAGCUCCAUGAUUGAAGCAGUAUCAGCUGCUAGGGUAAUUAGUACUAUCAACACUGUCGUCCAGCCAUAGCUAUUACCGACCAACGAGCUGACACACAACAAAACUGUAAAUCCAUUAAUCAUUGGAAGAAGGUAGUUUUUACCAGCAACGAGCGCACCAUCUGCCGAGCUGCAGCUGGAGCUGGAGCGGG